AAUCAACGCUGGCGGCGUGCCUAACACAUGCAAGUCGAGCGCGAAAGCCCCGCAAGGGGUAAGUAGAGUGGCAAACGGGUGAGUAACACGUGGGUGACCUGCCUUCGAGUGGGGGAUAACGUCCCGAAAGGGACGCUAAUACCGCAUGACAUCCUGCUUUUGAAAAAGCGGAGAUCAAAGCUGGGGAUCGCAAGACCUAGCGCUUGAAGAGGGGCCCGCGCCUGAUUAGCUAGUUGGUGAGGUAACGGCUCACCAAGGCGACGAUCAGUAUCCGGCCUGAGAGGGCGGACGGACACACUGGGACUGAGACACGGCCCAGACUCCUACGGGAGGCAGCAGUGGGGAAUUGUUCGCAAUGGGCGCAAGCCUGACGACGCAACGCCGCGUGGAGGACGAAGAUCUUCGGGUCGUAAACUCCUGUCGAGCGGGACGAACGCUUCGCGGAUGAAUAAUCCGCGGAAUUGACGGUACCGCUAAAGGAAGCCCCGGCUAACUCCGUG
rnacentral:rRNA from 1 species